UACGUAGGGGGCAAGCGUUGUCCGGAUUUAUUGGGCGUAAAGAGCUCGUAGGCGGUUCGAUAAGUCGGGUGUGAAACCUCCAGGCUCAACCUGGAGACGCCACCCGAUACUGCUGUGACUAGAGUCCGGUAGGGGAGCGUGGAAUUCCUGGUGUAGCGGUGAAAUGCGCAGAUAUCAGGAGGAACACCAGCGGCGAAGGCGGCGCUCUGGGCCGGAACUGACGCUGAGGAGCGAAAGCGUGGGGAGCAAACAGG
rnacentral:rRNA from 1 species